rnacentral:rRNA from 1 species
GACGAACGCUGGCGGCGUGCCUAACACAUGCAAGUCGAGCGAGUGAAUCUCCUUCGGGAGUGAAGCUAGCGGCGGACGGGUGAGUAACACGUGGGCAACCUGCCUCAUAGAGGGGAAUAGCCUUUCGAAAGGAAGAUUAAUACCGCAUAAGAUUGUAGCUUCGCAUGAAGUAGCAAUUAAAGGAGCAAUCCGCUAUGAGAUGGGCCCGCGGCGCAUUAGCUAGUUGGUGAGGUAACGGCUCACCAAGGCGACGAUGCGUAGCCGACCUGAGAGGGUCAUCGGCCACAUUGGGACUGAGACACGGCCCAGAAUCCUACGGGAGGCAGCAGUGGGGAAUAUUGCACAAUGGGGGAAACCCUGAUGCAGCAACGCCGCGUGAGUGAUGACGGCCUUCGGGUUGUAAAGCUCUGUCUUCAGAGACGAUAAUGACGGUACCUGAGGAGGAAGCCACGGCUAACUACGUGCCAGCCGCCGCCGUAA